rnacentral:lncRNA from 1 species
GGUUAGCUUGAUCCAAUCGUUGGAAUUCACUCCCGAGUUAACUCAGUUCGGACCGCCCUAAGUUGACUCGUUCCUAGAUCCGAUCAGUAAGGUUCCACUCUUGGGGCCUGAUUUGACUUGGCUCUUUCCUUCCCCAUCCCACCCACCUCCGACCCAAGUAGCCACCACCAGACGGUGACCACCCAUAGCCCCAAUGUCUCAUCUCGGCCAGCUCGGAUCAUGUUGUCCUAUCGAAGCUCAGCCAUAGAGUUCCCUUCUCCACUCGACGGGCACCCAGUCGGUGCAUAGAGUCAGCCGCACUGGAAACAAACACCAUCGAGGUUCUCGUACAUGAACC